rnacentral:lncRNA from 1 species
GGGUGUGCAACCGGAGUUUGGGGGAGUGGGAAUAGAAAAAAGGAAGUGUUUGUCACGACGGACGAACCAGGGGCGGACAAGGGUACCCGUCGCGUUCGUCCGCACGUGUCCGUUUGCUGCCAAACACGUUUUAAAUUUGAAUCGAAAAUGAAUGAAAAGAGGAUUAAAAAUGGACAUUUGUUUGUUUGCUUUCAUGCGUUGCGUUGGAUCAUGAUUUAUGUCCUGAGUUGCAGUGAGGAAGUAGCGGUGUACAAAAUACAUGUGAUAGACACAGGAACUGUUCUCUUUGACUGUCUUAAAAUACUCAC